rnacentral:rRNA from 1 species
UACGAAGGGGGCUAGCGUUGCUCGGAAUUACUGGGCGUAAAGCGCACGUAGGCGGCUUCUUAAGUCGGUGGUGAAAUCCUGGAGCUCAACUCCAGAACUGCCUUUGAUACUGAGGAGCUUGAGUCCGGGAGAGGUGAGUGGAACUGCGAGUGUAGAGGUGAAAUUCGUAGAUAUUCGCAAGAACACCAGUGGCGAAGGCGGCUCACUGGCCCGGUACUGACGCUGAGGUGCGAAAGCGUGGGGAGCAAACAGG